ACUAGAAACCGACUGAAAUAACUUGGUAGGAGUCUGGAGAUCAGUCAGAUUGUACAGGUAGAAGGCACCUCACCCAGCCUGUAAAGCACGUGUGGUGCUUCCCUCCACUCUGCAAGUGGGGAAAAGAGGACGUGAGGAAGGCAUCCUACCCAGGAGCGCACGGCCAGCCAAGGAGCAGAGCUGGGACUACAGCCAGACCUCGGACCCAGGGUGUGUAGGAGAUGGGCCACGACACGCCGACAAGGCCUCCUUGAGCCAGGGGAACGUGGUAGCUUCCAGUGUGCUCAAGAGGUGGAGCAGGUGGCUCAACCAUGGCUGCCAGCAGCCGGCACAGCCCACUCAGAGGAACGGCUCUGUCUUUGCAGCAAGAAAGAGAAUGUAUGGAUUGUGACCCUCCACCAGGGAGAAGAAUGAACUCAUUUUCACUCAGAUCCCUAGAUGUGCUGAGACCAAGCCCUCUGGCUCACAAACACUGCUCCCUUCUGGCCACAGAAGGAUUCUUCCAUGUGCCAAGUGCUGCAAUGGGCACUUGGGGUACGACUGCAGAGAGAGACCUGGCCUUGCCCUCCUACGGCCUUGCCUACUUGGGACAACCUACACUUGCCCAACAACUGGCUCGAUUGUGUUGGACCUGCCUCUCUGCCUGGGCUAGCUGGAACCCAGGGCAUCAGCUGACGGCUACCACCGCCACACAGCUCUGCGCCCAGCAAGAGCUGUCUCAAUUCAGUCUUUGUCUCCCUCUGGGGAAACCCAAGGGAACAUGCCUACCACUCCUGCUUAAAAAAGAACCUUGUGCAACGCAAAACUCGAGAAAUUGUUGAAGAACAGUUACCAAAAUGCAUCCUUUAAACCUGCUGUGCCUCCAGAAAUACAGGUUGUUGGUAAAAUAGA